ensembl:processed_transcript
GGUGUGUUUAGUGAGAAGUUAUCAGUCAUGGAGGGAGAUUCAGUCCGGCUACAAACUAAAAUGACUAAGCUACACGAAGAUGACAACAUACUGUGGACUUAUAGCAAAUCUUUGAUCGCUAAAAUCAGCAUGGAGAAGCAAAUCUUCUCCACAUUUGAUGGUCCUGAUGAUAGAUUCAGAGGCAGACUGAAGAUGGACAAACAGACUGGAUCUCUGACCAUCACAAACAUCAGACUUGAACAUGCUGGGGAAUAUGGAGUAAAGAUAACCGGGGAAAAACUGACUAAAAUAUCAUUCGGUGUUUCUGUGUAUGCUCGUCUAUCCAGUCCUAGCAUUACUAGAGAAUGCUCAUCUUCAUCCCAGAAUAACUGUUCAGUGGUGUGUUCAGUGGUGAAUGUGAGCGCUGUGAGUCUCUCCUGGUACAAAGGAAGCAGUGUAUUGUCCAGCAUCAUUGUGUCUGAUCUCAGCAUCAGUCUCUCUCUACCUCUGGAGGUGGAAUAUCAGGAUAGAAACACCUACAGCUGUGUGAUCAACAACACCAUCAGCAACCAGACCACACAUCUGGACAUCAACACACUCUGUCAGCCGUGUCCAGAUGAGGAUCUGCAUCUGUUCAACAUUGUGUGGAUUUGUGCUGCUGUUGGGUCUCUGUUGAUUUUAGUGUCUGCCGUGAUGUGCUGCAUCUCCAAGAAAUGUAGAAAAACAGGUUAGGUCUAAAAUGUUUAAAGAAAAUAUUCA